GAUGAACGCUGGCGGCGUGCCUAAUACAUGCAAGUCGAGCGAACAGACGAGGAGCUUGCUCCUCUGACGUUAGCGGCGGACGGGUGAGUAACACGUGGAUAACCUACCUAUAAGACUGGGAUAACUUCGGGAAACCGGAGCUAAUACCGGAUAAUAUAUUGAACCGCAUGGUUCAAUAGUGAAAGACGGUUUUGCUGUCACUUAUAGAUGGAUCCGCGCCGCAUUAGCUAGUUGGUAGGGUAACGGCUUACCAAGGCAACGAUGCGUAGCCGACCUGAGAGGAUGAUCGGCCACACUGGAACUGAGACACGGUCCAGACUCCUACGGGAGGCAGCAGUAGGGAAUCUUCCACAAUGGGCGAAAGCCUGACGGAGCAACGCCGCGUGAGUGAUGAAGGUCUUCGGAUCGUAAAACUCUGUUAUUAGGGAAGAACAAAUGUGUAAGUAACUAUGCACGUCUUGACGGUACCUAAACAGAAAGCCACGGCUAACUACGUG
rnacentral:rRNA from 1 species